ACAGUUGCUCAUCUGUUCCUUGUCAGUAAUGCUAUUCCUAUUUUGUCUGUGGUUUAUCUCCCUCUUAACAGGUGAUGCCUCUAGUGAGGGAAUAGCACCAGUCUCUCCUAAGGAAUUUGUCUCAGAAGGGAACGCAAUCACCCUGUCCUGCAAUUACAAUGGAUCAGCUAAUAUAGAUGCUCUUCAUUGGUAUCGUCAGUACCCGAGAUCCAGACCAGACUUCCUGUUUCUAGUUAAUGAAGCUGCAUUUAUGCAAACAGCUGAUCCUCCAAUUGCUGGAAUAUCUGCUAGAUUAAAUGAGGAGAAAAAUCGUGUGCAUCUGGAGAUCACUGGCACUGCAUUAACUGAUUCUGCUCUGUACUACUGUGCCCUGCAGCCCACAGUGACAGGAAACACAUGUGCACUGUACAAAAAUCAGACACAUUAAAAUAGAAGCUGUAAUCUGUUUUCAGUGUCUGUGGUCAGUGGAUGAUUAUGCAUGUUUAAGUUUAAGCUUUUUGAUCCAGCAUUUGGGAGCCAAUGAUUAAGCUUGAGAUUUUUAGUUUCAGUUGUCUUAUGAUUGUCUCGUUAGCAACUGACCUCAAGAAAACAGAAUACUGAAAUACAUAUAAUCAGAAUUUAAGGACAUGUCAUGCAUUUAGUAAACCACUCUUAACAGUUCUCACUGGUAUACAGUGUACAUUUUGACACAAUUUAGUCCUAAUUUUGUCAGCACAUCUAGCGCAUUGCUAAUAUGUUAUGCUGCACAAUGAUGACAUUUUUCUUAUUCUUCUCUUUACUGCAUUUCAGAGAUUGUCCUGGAGUAUAAAUACAAACAUAUUGAUAAAUCAUUAAUUAGUAAAGCAUGAACUAAUCUGUGAUCUAAUCACUUGUACUUUACCUAAUCAAGUUUGUCAAAAGUUGCCAUUUUAAUAUGAUGCCAAAUGUUAUGAUGAUAAAUCUACCAGCCUCUACCUUUUCUCAUAUGAAAACUACAUAUUAAUAGUCAUGAUGGAUUUUCACAUAUAGACUUUCCGGAAGAAAAUAAAAAGGUACACUGGGUCAGUAUCCUUUUAAAGGUUUUUAUAUGUAUACCUUAGGCACUAAUAUGUACCUUCAAGGUCCUAAUAUGCACCCUUGUUUCCGAGAAUAUGACAUUUUAUGUAAUUAAAAUCACACAGAGAUAAUGUGGGUGGGGCUUCAAGAUACUGGGUUGGCAUUCAUCUCUUAUUUGACUUCAAUCAGUUCUUCAGCAAUGCAAAAAUGACUUCUCUUUUUUACUUGCUUGUAAUUUUAGCCAUACA